UCGGAGGAGAUGGCCAUCCCUGGGUCCACAAUGAUUCCAGCCUCGUGAGAGACUGUGGAGCAGAACACCAGCUACGUCAGGCCCAGAUUCCUGGCCCACCGAAACUGUGUUAUUGCAAGCGGUUAUGUUUUCAGAUUUUAUUUAUUUAAGAGAGAGAGCAAGCACAAGCAGGGGAAGGGGCAGAGGGGGAGGAAAAGAAUCCCAAGCAGAUUCCAUGCUGAGCCUGAUGCAGGGCUCGAUCCCAUGACCCUGAGACCAUGACCUGAGCUGAAACCAAGAGUUGGAUGCUCAACCAACUGCACCACCCAGGAGCAUUUUUUAACAGAUUCAGGCCUGCUGGAAAAUAUCACUAUGCUGCUUUCUCUGGCCAUGAGUUGUGGGGCAAAACAAGAGCUUGAGAUGAAACUGCUCCUUUCAGAGUUAAAAACAAAACCUCAAGGGCAAAACAGGUAUUUCACGGUGUCGUUCUAAGUUGCUGUGCAUCCAUCUCUGUAUUCUCUACAUUGUUCAUCUUAGAGGAGCGCCUGUGAACCAGGGGGCUGAAACCAUAAAGCAGGACUUUCCAGGAGCACUUACAUCCUUGAGGUGAAUAUUAUCAAGGUCACAGUUGCUGUGCACUGUUUCAACCAACCAGCCUUCAGGAGUAAUCAUGUUGAGGGUUAGAAG